AUUUUCUUUAACGUUAUGGUCAUGGAGCACUAAAUAUGUGUGUUUUUUUCCCUCACAGUACAUGUUCCAGAACCAGGAAGCGGAGGCUUUUCCAGCUUCUGGCUGUGAGGAACAGUGAUCGAUUUGUGCUGUGGACUGUCUUUUCUGAAGUGGAAGGCCACAGAAGCUGCUGUUCCCCUCCUUAUUCCACUCUGCAUGGGUUUGAUCUCACGGCCCAACCAGGCUGUUUCAUACACAAGACUUUACUUUCUUUCUUUCUAUUUACAUACCUACAAAAUGCAGCAAAGCCUUUAUCCUUAUAUUUCCAGGCCAGCUGACUGCCAGAGUCAGCCACCAGGUCUGUGGGCAUGACUGCUGCCUGCUUGAAGAAAGACGCUGGUCUAAGUUUUUCAUAGUUAAACAAACAAGUGUGUUAUGACAUAAUUAUAUCUAGACUCCAGUUUUAAGCCAGCUGGAUGCAGACAGUGCAUUCUUGGCUCCAGCACUUUAGUCUUUGUGUGAGAGGGAGUUCCUGCUUGUGGAAGUGACUUUUUCUUCCUCUUCUGUAUAAAGAAGCUAUUACGGAUGUACAAAUGAAUAUUUUUUAUUAUUUUAUCCUAAUUACAAAAAUACUGUAUUCGUAUCCAAGAGAAAACUUUGGCAAAUCUUGGGGGCCGAUGUAGCAUACUGUAUAUUAUAAGUUAUGUGAUUUAUUUUUCAGUCUGUGUAAGGGUGUUGACAAUUUAAGGGCUCCUCAUAUAUUUCAUGCAUUUCAAAUCAUGAUGAAUGUGUUGAGAUAGAUCUGAAGUGAGUUAGACUUCCGUGAUAUGAAAGGUUCUUCUAGCGAAAUGGAUUUAAGCCACUCUAAAAUCUGAUAAGAAACCUUUAGUUUUUUUUAAGCAUAUCAUAAUAGGAGGUUUUACACACUGCAGCACCCAUCUAAUGUAUGAUUGCACAGGCCUGACAUGUAGCUAGAGACUUAGAGUUACUUCUCUUCUGUCCAUUUAAAUGUGAAGUUUAAAGGAAAUAUUAAAAGAUAGACUUCUCAUUUGACACAACCAUGAACACCACUGCAUUUUUGCACAAUAUGUAUCACUAGUUAUAGUUCUGACAACAGGUCAUUUAUUCUCUGUUUGUAGAUGACCAACACGUUGUUGCUCUACACAUGCAUGUCUAAAAGAGAGACUGGCCUCAAUAACAAGGUUUUUCAAAACUCGAAAGCAAAAAUGUAGUCUCGGAGACAUGAUGUCUCUGAAUGUUACUACUGUUUUUAUUUGGAAACAAAGGCCACAUGUUGAGUCAAGCCUUGACUGUGCAUAGAACAUAGAAACCCUGAGACAAAGUCAAGACAAUGAGAUGCUACUUUUCAUACUUUGUAAAAAAAUAAAAUACAAAAUAAAUAAAAAAGAAUAUUCAACUGUCUAGGAGCCAGUCUUCUAAAGGAUUUUAUUAUGGUUGACUGCGUUUCAUUAAAUGUAUGGUGGCGUGGUUAUUUGAGAACGGAGUCGGUUGUAGAACCAUGAAUACCUGCUUGAAGAAAUCCAUAUUAAUUUUCUGGAUUACAAAAGAUAAUCAAUAACCAUUCGAAGUAAAAUAUUAGUCCUCAUCACUGGUUGCAGGCAACAGUUUAAAGGGUUAACUUAUUGAUAAAUAUUCCUCUGGGAAACUUCCUAGAGAUGAGUUGAAUCGUGCAAUACUGUACAGAAUUGUGAGAACUCACAAAAUUGCAAUACAUGGAUGACCAUAGGAAUGUAGGAAACAGCAACUGUGAGUGGUGGACUGGAACUCACCAUGGUGAGAUGCACUGCAGAAGGAUGAUGUUAGCAUGCGAGUCUAAAAGCCCUGCAAGCUCUUUACUCUGAGUCGGACAAAAGCUUCAACGUGUAGUUUCAGUUUUAGGGAAACGCACACGUGCUAUGCUUCAGCUUAGCCUACGGCAAAGCUACGGCGGCUAUGUGUGUAGCUCUGUAGCUAAACUGUAAACCCUUAAUGCAGAACUACACAUCCAGCUUUAGGAAUGCUUUUUUUUGCACAGAAAAGCUGGACAUUUGGUCCCCUCUGUGUAUCCAAAAGGCUGAUUCAGGCCAAAAAGAUUUGAACUGACUGAACAACCAGCCAACCAGACACGGCGCUGCUGGCGAGGCUGAAAGGGAAGCGAUUUGCAUUAACUUUUUGAAAAGGGCAUUGCAUUAGACAUUCUGAAUUCAUAAUGCUGUAACUUUGCAUUGCGAUUAGCUACAGUGUGAUUCUGCAAAAACUAGAAAAGCAAUUCCUCUGACAUAGACAUGAUUACAACGGAGGGGUUUGUUUCUGCGAUGCGCUCAGAAAAACUUGCUCAUAGCUGUGUUCAUAUUGUGUAGAUUUACAGAGAUAUUAUAUUGGAUUUUCCAAAUUAAAAAGCUAAUGCAAACUGCCCCUUGCAGGUUAACAUCUUUAGGGCAGACGCUCCUUCUUUGUGCAUACUUUGGGGAGAAGGGAGAAAAAACAAGCUGUGGUGUAUAACAAGUGAAAUUGCACUAAAAAUCACAGUUGUAUGAUAUUUGAGAGUAUACAGUACAUUUUAGACAUAGCAUUUAUUCUUGUUCCUCAUGAUAAUAUGAGUGUUAAUGAUUUUUUUUUUUCAAGGAGUGAUGAAUACACACAUUCAGUUGCUGUUCUUAAUUUAUUCUGUUUUCCAUUUUAAUCAUUUGCACUGGAAAUGAACGGAUGUGUGUUCAAAUGACAUUUAUGCUUGUCAGGAUUGCAUAUAGAUAAGGAAGUAUUUUUGUUAACUGAGUGAAAAGUUCUCUGCUGUAACAAAGCCUGGCAUCCCAAAAGCACUUCUUCACUGCCAAUGGACAACAAUACAUCAGCAUAUUAACAUAUACAGUAUAUUAACAAAACAUGGACAGCAAAACCCUUUCUUGUUACAACAAAGUGCACCUGCUUUCAAUAUAGACACACAGGCAACCUUAGUGCUUAGAUGUGUUUGAAAGUGGGCCACAACCUGCUUAAAAUGUGAAUAGUUUUUUGCAAAGACUAAAGUGUAUUGUUACAGAGAGUCAAGAAAAUUGAACAUGUAUUCCACCUGUGUAUCACAUAUUUUAAGUUGUUAAAACAAAUAAAAGUGAAAGAAAGAAGACUAAGAUACAUUUUUGAUUACUUCCUUUGAAUUGGUAUUUGAAUUGUUGUAGAUUUACCAUCUGCAAAUGCAUUUCCUUGUGUUUACGAUUAACAAUGCGAUGUCCAUCUCAGCAACUGUGACGGGGGACCGCAGCCCGGUCAAGCUUCAUAAGCAAUGCAAAAGUAGUUAACUACAGUAGUAACUGUUCUUAAGUAAAUGAAUAUGUGAAGCAUAGCAGCAUUUACAAAACUACAGUAACACUUGAAGUCAAUUUUAUUGUGAGACUAAAACAUUUCAGCUUCUGGCCUUCAUCAGAUGACGCUCAUGAAUGGAUGUAUAAAGUAGCCUAUUGAUUAUAUAGGAUUGCAUUUCCUUAUACUGUUGCCAAGAGCAUGUAUACAUUAAUAGGAUGUGGUCUAAGGAUCGACCCUCGUGGAACCCCUGAUAAAGUUCAGCAGCAGAACAUUUAAAACGUAUUAACACAUUUCUCUGAUUCCAUCCAGCUUUUCUACUUCUAAGUAUUUUUUGUACAACUGUUAAAUCCAAAUCCAAAUC
rnacentral:lncRNA from 1 species